AAGAACCAUUUUGGAAAAACUCAGGCUGCACCUGCACACAGAUAAGCAAUUUGUAUAAUUAGUGAAAUCCUAGGGAAAAAAAAAAGGUAUCUCCCUUUCAGGCAUAUAUGUGGUGGAAAUAUGCACAGGGCUGAGGAUGGCUUAUCAAAAACAACCCACUUUAUACAAGGAAAAUAAGUGGCACUGUGUGCUUGCCUGGAGGCAUACCCACAGCUACAUAAGAUAAGGGGAGUUGCACACACAGGUUUACUGAUAAGAGAAGUUACUCAAACUGCUACAGACAUGAGAGGAGUUUCUUAUAAAAGCUUUCGAAUUCAGAUGUAACCCAGCAAUGCACUCAGACUCCUCUCUGCUGUGGAGAGCUUUUUUUUUUUUUUUUCAUAUUAAACUUUCACUCCAACUUUAUCUUUGUGUUUACAAUUCUUAAUUUUUUUGUCUUGGAUAAAGAACAAAAAACCUGGAGUACUUCUUCAGACAACAAGAAACUUCCAAAUUAAGGUGCAUUGGCAAGAAUGCAACAUAUUUUGAUCCAUUGGCUUGGAAGGAGGGAAUUCAUCAGAAGGGUGAGUAAGAGCCGACUUUUACCUUUAACUAUUUACAUUCAUCUAUGAGUCUUCUCAUCUAUUCCAAUCUAGUUUCCUUUCACAGAGGACCUAAGCCAACAUGUGGGAUUGGAAGAAGGUCCUAGGAAAAUUCAAGAUUUCUGGCUGGGACUAACCCUCAGUGUUAUCUGAAGGUCCUCAGUGUUAUCUGAAGACUACUCCAAUCCUUGACAGCCCACCAGUGUGUCAGCACAAGGACCUUCCCUCUUACAUUUUCCUUCUUUUCUCCCAUGGCUAUUAUGUCACCUAUCUCUUCAUUGUAUACAAUGUUGCAGGUGUUUUUUCAGCCUAGAGAUAUAAUCUUGCUUGGUAGAGUAAGUUGGUGUCUUUUUUUGUAACCAGGAAUGUAACUUCAAGAAACUGUGUUUUUGUGAUUUCCUCGAGACAGAGGAGUUCAAGAUUUCUGUCUAAGUAUUCACUUAGUAAGGUCUCUUCUACCCCUCAAUAAUAGACAUUCAUGACACUAUAUGGUCAAAUAUUUCACCCCAAGUGAAUAUCCUCUUUUCUCUCCAUUUGGAUUGUUUCUUCCCUCUACAUUUGGGUUGGUUUUUCCCUCCCCAUUUGGGUUGGUUUUUCCCUCCAUGUAAAAUCCCAGCAUUGCCCAAUAAAUUUAAACAAUUCUUUAUGAAACAAGUUAAUUUUCUUGUGCUGGGAGGAAUAUUAUAGGAACAGCCAAUUAAACUGAAACCUCUUUUUCUAACUUCUGCCUGAAAGGAUGGAGUCACAGUUUUUACCUAAUAUUUCAGACCCUACAGCACUACGUAGGGGAAUGGGAUUUAUUUUUCCCCACUGGGAGCCUUGUUGGCCCUUUGUCUAAAAACUCUGGUUAUCUCCCUUUUAUAUCCCUCUAUUAGAGACUAGGCUUCAUGCCCCAUUUGAAAACAGCAAAGCUCCAGCUUUAACAGUAAGAGGACGGCCAUUCCAUUUAUAUGUUCUUUUAAGGCACCUGUUCUACAUUCAGCUACAUUGGCAUUUACACCAGAAAUGGGUUUUAUGUUUGAAAGUGAAUCAGUCUCAUUCUUUGGGGUUUCAAUGUUUCACUAGGGCCAUAGCAAGGGAAACCAAAGAUAAUACUAAAACACUUCCUCCAUUAAGGAGGGAAGUCCAGCAGAUGCCCAGAUGCAACUGUCACAUAGUCUUUCCUGAGACCCAUCCAUCAAGGAGUGACCCAGACCCAAGUCUACGAGGUCAAAGAAUAAUCACCAUCAGAGGACUAAAGCCACUUGGGUGAGCAUGGCUUGCCCCAUUGCUUAGCUCCUCUGCUACCAUCAUUUGAAGGUCACACUUGAAACCACUGGUGGCAUAUUCAACACAAUGCUGGGACCCAGGAGCCAAGGAGAAAUAACAGUCUGUGGGACACUCCUACUGUCUUCUUCUCCUCCCUGGGUCACACUGAAAAAAAGCAGGAGACAGAGGGAUGCCUCUUUUCUUGUCUAUUUUUCUAGAGAGGUGACAGUCCAACUUUAAUCUGCACCCCUCUGAGUGCACUCUGAAACUUUUAGAACUACUUUGACCCGAUGACUUUGAAGAAAAAGGUGACCAUUUUCUUUUGCACGAGAGCAUGACAUUUUUUACUAAACCUUCACAAGCAUUAUGAGAUCAACCCAGCUUUUUUAACAGUCAUGGCAGGUAGUCCCAUGGAGAAUAAUUCCGCAGAGUUAGAAAAGCAAUUUCUAAAGAAACCAUCUCAGAAUGCCCCUUAUUAAUCACCACCUCAAGUUUUCUUUUCAUUGCAGGAACUUACACAAAUAAAGGGGGAACUAGGUAGGUUCUCUGAUGACCCUAAUAAACAUAGAGAGGUUUUCCAAAAUUUGACCCAAAUGUUUCAUGUUACAUGGAGAGAUGCUAUGCUACAUUUAAGCCAAAACCCUAACUGUUACAGAAAAGCAGGCAGUCUUGCAGGCAGCAGAAACAUUUGGAGAUAAACAGCGUAACUCCUAUAGCCAGUCUAAAAAUCUUGAAAGGAAAAAAUCUAAGGGAUAAAAGAGGAUAAGGAGAGACAGGGUCCCCAUUCCCAAUAGUAAGAAAAAUGAGGCUCCCUUAAAAGCCCUAAUUGGAGCCUGAGUGAUCUCAUAAAUGAGUGGAAAUUAAAAGAAUUUCUGAUAUACAUUUAAAAAGACUUGGAAAUAAGCAGAACAAGACCUCUUAAUUACUCUCAACUGUAUGAGUUGCACCAGAAAAUAUAUGGAAAUCCACCUGCCUUCUUGGAGAGACUGAGAGAAGCUUUAGUAAGACACACUUCCCUGUCUUCCAGUUCAGUAAAAAACAGGUUCAAUACUCAGGCAGCCCCUGAUAUCAGAAGAAAGUUGCUGAAAUAGGCCCUGUCUAAAAAUCUUUCUAGUUUUUCUCACCAAACAAUCCCACAUUCCUAAGCCCUCUCCACUGUACUGUCUCAUUCACAAUCUUGCAAAACUUGACAGAAGCAUUUAGUCUUUUACUGUAACAUGGCCUGGUCCCAAUACACAUUAGAUAAUGACAGUCGAUGGCCCAAAAAUCAUACCUUUGACUUGCAAAUUCUCAGGAAGCUUAACAACUUUACAGCGAGGGAUGGCAAAUGGCAACUGGUUCUCUAUAUUCAGGCUUUCUUUGAUGUCUACCUUAAAUGUAACCUUCCACUGUGUCAAGCUUGCACUGCUCAUAAAAUCUUUCUUUUUAAUAAAAAUCCUCCCCAGGUCUUUCCUUACUAUGAAACUCCUUUUAACCCAGUAGAUAAAGCCCCUCUGUAUUCUUAUUCCCUGCAUCGACUCCUUGCCCAUCCAAAUCCUCUACCCCAGUGGCCCCUCCUGCCUCCAAACCCUUAGCCCCCAACCCAACUACUCGUUCUCCAUCUGUUACCAAUUCAAAAAUCACAUCUGCCUUUCCCUUUCUGGGAAGUGGCUGUGGUUAAAGGCAUUGCUCACAUUAAUUUCCCUUUCUCCAUGUAGGAUUUGUUGCAGAUCAAAGCUGAAUCAAACUUGACUUACAAAGCAAAAAGGCCCUUGGAAAACUCACUGCAUAUUUUGUGUACACAGUCCCUGUACAUGGUUUCUGAUCUGUGGUAAGUAAAAAAAUUACUUUCUAGCAGGCUGGGAAGCCCAAGUUAUCUUGGUCCCUCAAGAGAAGAGAAAUUCUCCAACUAAUAGGUAUUGGACAGUAAAAAUCCAUGGCUGGGCUUCGCUUUAAAAAGGUCUUAUCUCAGAUUCCUUCUUUGAAACAAAGUGCCAUAUAAACCAAUUUAAUAGGCAGAUGUAACAAAUAAUUAUUCUUGCUGCACUGUAUGCAAAUAACUGUCAAGUAUAGUAAAGCAAACCAGUCCUAUUAUAAUUUGUCUUUUAAUAAAAAUGGGAAACUGGAGAGACAAAAUUAUGUUUCAAAAAUGAUAGCACAUGGAUUGUUGAAUUCUAGUGUUUCCUAAUGUUUUUCUAUUUUUAUUAUUUUCCACUGCUUAAAUUAAACUCUAAUUUUUCUGGAUAUAAGUUUCCAUAUUAAGCUGUGAUUUCUUAAAGCCCUACAAACUGAAAAGUAAGUGUUUCAUCAAGUACUGCCUCUAACACAGGGCCACCACAGGAAUAAAUGUCUUCACUGCUGGUGCUGACAACUAAUAACUGAGGGUGCUGAGAAAACUUUCCCCCAAAGUCUAGUGAGUCCAUGAAAUGCAGGGUGAUUAAGAUGAUAUCUGAUACAGGAGUCAAUUCCUAAAUACAUCACUCAAGUCAAAGCCUAGAAAUCUAAGAAAGCAACCCAAACAGCCCAAAGAAACACCCUAAAUAUCAAUGUAAAAAAAUAGAAAAUAUUAAGCUGAAAAUCAUAAAAGAUAGGUGACUAAGUGAAAACUACUCAUUUUAUUCAGCCUCACACACCUCACCAAAUACUUUUGGUGUGUCUACCUCUUUUUUUAAGCCAAAUAUUAAAACAUUUUAAUGGAAAUUAUUUACUUUGCCACCCUUGUGGGAACUGCCUUACUCACUGCUAUUUGCAGUAGAACAAUAUGCUAUAGCAUCCUCAGGGUGGAAUAUCAGACAAAAAAAUCUCAAUUAUUAUAGCAUUUUCCCUAAUUAUUAUCCAGAUAGCAGGAAUAAUAGUUACUAAAAGAAAGUAACACAUGAGUUCUUCCAAACACAUGCUUCUGCCUCUCAUCAGGUAACAAAUGUUUCUAUAGCAACGAAUAGGGCUUAGUAAAAAACACUGCUAAAAACUUAAAGAAAAGGCUAAAAAGCUAAGGGAAUAUCAAAACAACCGAAUAGAUUCUUGGUUUGGAUUCAAAAUCAUAGGAUGAGUCAUCCCAUUCCUGGGACCUCUUCUAAUAAUAUACCUGGAACUAAUGUUCUUACCUUGCCUAAUUAACUUUUUUCAAAGAUUUUUAACUGAAAAUAUCAUGGCCAUUUUACAGACAACUACCCCAAAAUAUCUACAAAUGACAUUGCUCCUACAGUAAACCCAAGACCAGAAAACUCUCCAUCCCCUUGUCAGCAGGAAGUAGCCUGCAGUCCCUCCUCCUUUUUAUAACCAUAGGAUCUGGAUUGACAGAGCAGGACCACCACCUUGUUGGAACAACCCCUCAUUCUAAAGCUGACCUCAAUAAAAAACUGCUUAAAUCCAAAGGGUGUCAGCCUAAUGGCUAAGGUCAGCAUGACCAUAAACCACAGAUAACUUCUCUAACCAGAAACAUUCCAAACUCCUCCCCAACCAGAGAUAGGGUAGUCCUGAGAUAAACUCUGCUCUGGCUGGGAAAAUGCUAGCCCUGAGAUAACCCCCUUCUUGGUCAGAAAGAUGUCUGCCCCAAGAUAACCUUACCUCCUGCCAGAGAGAUUCCAACUCCGCUAUAAACUUCUCCACACACAUAAACAUUCCAAGCUUGUGAUAAGCCCCCUCAACCUAAAAGUGAUAUAUACUCAGCUUUUAAGAGAAAGUACUCCUGACUGAAAUUGGCCAGAAGCACCUCUCAGGUUUCCUCUAAAGAAAACCUGUCUUUACCUGCCAGCCGCAUUUCUUGUUUCUUUCCUCUUUAACUCCUACAGAAAUAAAAGCACAACAAGGUUUUCUUAAGAUUUCAAUGUGCUUUUUAGAAAAUCUUGUGAAGAGUUAUAAAAGGUACAUGAAAAUCUCACAUCAUGAUCAAACUGGUUAAAAUUGAAUAGGAUUACCUAUAAGCUUUCAUUAAAAAUUGGGGUUAACCAUUAAUAGUAAAAUAAUGCAAGGGUGAAAUUUAACUUGCUUGAACAGGGUUUUCAUGUAAUAGUAAAGACUGAUGAAUGGUUUUUGGCUUUUCAAAUUUUGACUCAUCAUUUUGGCAAGACAAAUAACUAUGUUAAUCUAAAAUUGUAUUUCAUAACAUCAAGUGUUUUAAAUUUCAAAUAUAUUUAACAGGCUUACCAAAAUCAAACUACAGUCUCAAGGUUGUCUUUCAUGACCUAGGGGUUUGGGUGCUACCGAGGACCCCUGGAGCAUCCAGAAGAGAGUUAAACAGGAUUAUUUAACAUGUUUGCAUACAUGAUGUCAGGCCUCUGAGCCCAAGCUAAGCCAUUAUAUUCCCUGUGACAUGAACGUAUACAUCCAGAUGGCUGAAAACAACUGAAGAUCCACAAAAGAAGUGAAAAUAGCCUUAACUGAUGACAUUCCAUGAUUGUGAAGUUUCUACCCCACCCUAACCGAUCAAUGUACUUUGUAAUCUCCCCCACCAUUAAGAAGGUUCUUUGUAAUUCUCCCGACCCCUGAGAAUAUACUUUGUGAGAUCCACCCACUGCCCACAAAACAUUUCUCCUAACUCCACCGUCUAUCCCAAAAGCUAUAAGAACUAAUGAUAAUUCCACCACCCUUUGCUGACUCUCUUUUUGGACUCAGCUCACCUGCACCCUGGUGAAAUAAACAGCCUGUUGCUCACACAAAGCUUGUUUGGUGACCUCUUCACAUGGAUGUAUGAGACACAUGCAAUUGCCAAAAUGAUAUUUAAUAUUUUCCAGGUUAUAUUUUGGGCAAUAAUAUUAACAUAUAUUUCAAAAUCAUAUAGGAUUUCUAAGGUUCUAGUAUCUGAACAUGUGCUAUUAAUCACAAUUAAGUGUGUUAAGUUGGUUUAUGGUGAACCAUAAAAAUAACCAAAUUUGUCCAACAUGUUCUUGACUGUAACUACCCUGGAAAUUUUGUCAUUUACUGACAAUUUUUGUCUUGUUUCAAUCUUCUUCUUCUUAAAAAAAAAUAGAUUAUAAUCAGCUGUAGAACUUUAACAGGGAUUCUUUCAAAUGCUGGUUUCUAAUAACAGAAAAACUUACAGGACACAUGAAAAGUAGAAACUGAACUAGUAGAAAACUAAAGCAAUAUUCUUGACUUAUGCUUGGAACAUUGCUGAUUCUUAUUUUGUUUUUCAGAGUCAAGGACACUUGUCUUGAGCUAGCUACACCCUUUCACAACUCAGUAAGGAGUGAAGACUGAUUUUGCAGAGCCAAUAAAGGCCCCUGGGGAAACUGGCCUCAUAUCUUGUCAUGAAGAUUUUAUACAGGUUUCCUAACCUGUGGUGAGUAAAGAAUGUCCCUCUCUAACAGGUCUACCCCAUGCUCUUGGAACCUCAAGAAGAGACAAGUUUACCCAACUCACAGUGCUCACUGCUGCAAAGAAGAACAAGCACACAGGCAAAAAGUUUUCCCAGCAAGAAUGCCAGGGUGAAAGGAAAGAUCAAUUGGACCAGAGCACAAGUGCUGCUCCAGUUACUUGGCAGAGUACCUAAUAGUGAUCCACCACAAUACCACCAUAUAUCUGUUUGGGAAUAAACAAGGGCAAGUUGACUGCUUAAGAGUGAUGACAUGCAACUCAGUCUCUUGCAACACCACCUGAGAAAAGGAAGCACUAGCAGGAAGAACAAAUUGAUGGAGAGGAAAAGUGAUGAAUACAGAUAAGAAGCACAGCUGGUGGAGGCUCAUGUGCCAGUUUACUGGGCCUCAGGACAUUCUCCUCUAGAAGGAGGAGACAGCAUGACCCCCACUUUCUUUUAUUUUAUUAUAAUUUAAGUUUUAGGGUACAUGAGCACAAUGUGCAGGUUAGUUACAUAUGUAUA
rnacentral:lncRNA from 1 species